GAUGAACGCUAGCUACAGGCUUAACACAUGCAAGUCGAGGGGAAACGAUAGAGAAAGCUUGCUUUUUCUAGGCGUCGACCGGCGCACGGGUGAGUAACGCGUAUCCAACCUGCCCACCGCUUGGGGAUAACCUUGCGAAAGUAAGACUAAUACCCAAUGAUAUCUCAAGAAGACAUCUGAAUGAGAUUAAAGAUUUAUCGGUGAUGGAUGGGGAUGCGUCUGAUUAGCUUGUUGGCGGGGUAACGGCCCACCAAGGCGACGAUCAGUAGGGGGUCUGAGAGGAAGGUCCCCCACAUUGGAACUGAGACACGGUCCAAACUCCUACGGGAGGCAGCAGUGAGGAAUAUUGGUCAAUGGGCGAGAGCCUGAACCAGCCAAGUAGCGUGCAGGAUGACGGCCCUAUGGGUUGUAAACUGCUUUUAUAAGGGAAUAAAGUGAGCCUCGUGAGGCUUUUUGCAUGUACCUUAUGAAUAAGGACCGGCUAAUUCCGUGCCAGCCGCCGCAGUAA
rnacentral:rRNA from 1 species